GGUCAGAACCAGAGUCUGAGACACAUUUAACAACGCACCUCCUCGGGAACCAGCCUCUCACUCGUAUUCCAUCUGCAGAGAAAGGGGAUAACCCCCCCGGGACGUUAAAGUCAUUGUUCUCACCAGAUUUCUGCCUUGUUCCAGAUUCCUAGUCCUGUUCCAGGUCCCUGUCUUGUUCCAGUACUCCUGUGUCCCGCCUAGCCCUGCUCCUGGCCCCAUCCUUCGACUUUGCUUGUCUGCCUCGACUCUUUGGCCUGGACUUUGUCUCUGCCGCAUUCUAAGUAUUUCAAGUUUGUACAUACAUUCUGAGCACUUUUAUUUGUAAUCACUUCCCUAAGUUUAUUAAAGUUUCUUUCGACGUUUAUCUGAUCCCAGUACUACUGUGUAUGGUUACACCCAGGGUUACCCAGUUUUUAGGCUGGGUUCUUCCUGGUACUCCAUGGCAAUUCCUCGGGGAAGACGUGACAGUUGGUGCUUUAAAAAUACUUGUUAAGAAUGGGCACUCUGGUUGUGAUUGAUUAGAAUUUUACUUGGUAUUAAUAGAUUGAUUUUCAUCUCUAUGGACAAGGGUCAUGUAGCAUUUAUAGCUAGAUAUACUUCAGUUCCACAAAGAUACAGGGAGUUCAAGGGAAUCGGUACAGGUCAUUUCACAGAUGUGCAGAGGUACAAGAAGGGGAUGGAUGGUGUUUAGCAAGUGACUGCUUCUUGGCGUCGGGAAGGAAUUUUCCCCUCUCUGAACUAUAGAGAGGCUUCAGAAGUUUUUUUUUGCCCUUCUUUGGAUCCACUGACAGGAUUUAUAAAAAUAAAUAAAGUUUAACUUGAAA